rfam:Triticum aestivum genome assembly, contig: Triticum_aestivum_CS42_TGACv1_scaffold_582602_7BL
UAAAUACUCCCUCCGUCCCAAAAUUCUUGUCUUAUAUUUGCCUAGAUACGGAUGUAUCUAAUACUAAAACAUGACUUGAUAUAUCCGUAUUUGGACAAAUCUAAGACAAGAAUUUUGGGACGGAGGGAGUACAAA